rnacentral:rRNA from 1 species
UACGGAGGGUGCGAGCGUUGUCCGGAAUUACUGGGCGUAAAGGGCGUGCAGGCGGUUUGUUAAGUGCAGGGUGAAAGCUCCCGGCUCAACUGGGAGAGGUCCUUGCAUACUGGCAAACUCGAGGGAGGCAGAGGAAAGUGGAAUUCCCGGUGUAGUGGUGAUAUGCGUAGAUAUCGGGAGGAACACCUGUGGCGAAGGCGGCUUUCUGGGCCUUACCUGACGCUGAGACGCGAAAGCGUGGGGAGCGAACCGGG